UACGUAGGGUGCAAGCGUUGUCCGGAAUUAUUGGGCGUAAAGAGCUCGUAGGCGGUUCGUCGCGUCGGCUGUGAAAUCCCGAGGCUCAACCUCGGGUCUGCAGUCGAUACGGGCGGACUGGAGUUCGGCAGGGGAGACUGGAAUUCCUGGUGUAGCGGUGAAAUGCGCAGAUAUCAGGAAGAACAUCGGUGGCGAAGGCGGCUUGCUGGGCCAUUACUGACGCUGAGACACGAAAGCGUGGGGAGCAAACGGG
rnacentral:rRNA from 1 species